rnacentral:rRNA from 1 species
GACGAACGCUGGCGGCGUGCCUAAUACAUGCAAGUUGAGCGAUGAAGAUUGGUGCUUGCACCAAUUUGAAGAGCAGCGAACGGGUGAGUAACGCGUGGGGAAUCUGCCUUUGAGCGGGGGACAACAUUUGGAAACGAAUGCUAAUACCGCAUAACAACUUUAAACAUAAGUUUUAAGUUUGAAAGAUGCAAUUGCAUCACUCAAAGAUGAUCCCGCGUUGUAUUAGCUAGUUGGUGAGGUAAAGGCUCACCAAGGCGAUGAUACAUAGCCGACCUGAGAGGGUGAUCGGCCACAUUGGGACUGAGACACGGCCCAAACUCCUACGGGAGGCAGCAGUAGGGAAUCUUCGGCAAUGGACGAAAGUCUGACCGAGCAACGCCGCGUGAGUGAAGAAGGUUUUCGGAUCGUAAAACUCUGUUGGUAGAGAAGAAUGUUGGUGAGAGUGGAAAGCUCAUCAAGUGACGGUAACUACCCAGAAAGGGACGGCUAACUACGUG